rnacentral:rRNA from 1 species
CAGUAGCGUAUAUUAAAGUUGUUGCAGUUAAAAAGCUCGUAGUUGGAUUUGUGGCGUACGGUGUGUUCCGGGCACUUGUUGUCUGAGUAACCUGCUGUUGCCAUCCUUGGGUGGAACCUGUGUGGCAUUAGGUUGUCGUGCAGGGGAUGCCCAUCAUUUACUGUGAAAAAAUUAGAGUGUCCAAAGCAGGCUUAUGCCGUUGAAUAUAUUAGCAUGGAAUAAUGAGAUAGGACUUUUUUGCUAUUUUGUUGGUUUGCGCAAAGAGGUAAUGAUUAAUAGGGACAGUUGGGGGUAUUCGUAUUCCAUUGUCAGAGGUGAAAUUCUUGGAUUUUUGGAAGACGAACUACUGCGAAAGCAUUUACCAAGGAUGUUUUCAUUAA